rnacentral:lncRNA from 1 species
CUAUAUUUUAUGAAUCUUCUUUUGGCAUUUGAAAAUAUUGUAAGAUUAAUCAUGAUAACAAUUUGCCAUUUUAGCAUGUAAUUAUGCACUUCAUUCAAUUUUUUUCUCUUUUUUGUUAUAAUCUCUUUUGUUCGUCAUUUCUUGCUGAAACUCUCAUAUGAUAAGCGCUAUACUGUGCCACUAACAGCUUUGUCCUGUUGAUAUGCCAUCAUAUCGCCCAUUGCCUUCAUGAAAAUAUUUUGAUGACAACAGAAAAGUCUCUUGAUCCAAUGAUUCCAUCUUUUAUGGCUUCUUAAUAUUUUU